rnacentral:rRNA from 1 species
GUAGGUGGCGAGCGUUGUCCGGAUUUACUGGGCGUAAAGAGCGCGCAGGCGGCUGGUCAAGUCCGAUGUGAAAGCUCCCGGCUUAACUGGGAAAUUGCAUCGGAAACUGAUCGGCUGGAAGGUGGGAGAGGGUAGCGGAAUUCCCGGUGUAGUGGUGAAAUGCGUAGAUAUCGGGAGGAACACCAGUGGCGAAAGCGGCUACCUGGCCCAUUCUUGACGCUGAGGCGCGAAAGCUAGGGGAGCAAACGGGAUUAGAUACCCCGGUAGUCCUAGCCGUAAACGAUGAACACUAGGCGUAGUCGGUAUCGACCCCGGCUGUGCCGUAGCUAACGCAUUAAGUGUUCCGCCUGGGGAGUACGGCCGCAUGGCUA